UGCAUCUCAAAAAAUAAAAUAAAAUAAGUGCAGAACAUCCUCACUUAAAGGUAUAAACUAUGUUACAUAAUUUUAUAUUUAUGAUUAAAUUUAAUAAUUUUAAAUUGCUUUAAUGAUUUAAACUUUAUAUUGAACAUUAAUUCUAAUUGCACAAGAUGGCAUAUGGAAUAUAGAUCACUUCUCUUCAAAUAACUAACGUUAAUCUGGGUGCUCUCAGAAGCAGAUGUCAAGACAGCAUUAAAUGGUUAAGUAUUUUAAUGCUGGUGUAAAGUGAAAUGGCUGUGUUAAUAAAAAACAGGGAGGGAGCUAGAGAAGGCUGGGAGACAGAUUAGACCAGGAUGCAACUCUGAUCAUAGGCGAAGGACAGAAGAAAAGAUUGGAUAGUGGAAGAUUGAGUGGCAGCUGUCUACACUGCAGCACAGUCAACAGGAGGUUCAGCAAAGCCAUUGUUGAGUUCUGGAGCUAAAGUUGGCUAACAAAGGAAUUCUUUGUCUUCUUAGGAACUGUUCUGCCUUCCCAUUUCCACAAAAACUAGUCAUCAGCAAGAAGCUGCCUGUGGGGUGCACGUUCUCAGGUCAAAUGUUUCCUCUUCUAUAAAAUGAAGAUAAUAGUACCCCACUGAAGGGUCAACAUGAGGAUUAAGGAGACAUCAUUUGAAAUGGAGCCUGAUAUACAACUUAGAAGCAACUUGAGGCAGGAUGGGAGCAUAAAAGACAGCCAGAAUGCCAAAGUCUCCGAGCAGUGAGUAGGAGUCUAAGAAGUUGGAAAGAUUCAUGGACCUCUUCCAGUAUGUGAAAGCCACAACUGUGGAGCAAAUGGGAAAGCAGCAAUGUGGGAACGGAUUAAUACACAGAGCAUCUAGAGAGAAAUAUCCAGCAAUCAGUUGGAGCUGAAAGGCCCAAGAAGGAGAGGGAAUAGAAGGAUGACGUACCUAUUUGGAUGGAAUUCACAUAUAGGAGGAAUCCAAAAAAGUGUCUGUAGAGAUAAAAAGUUGCUUGACUCUGAAGAUUCUGAACUGCCCCAACCUAUGUCCAUGAAGGAUUGUAAAGAGCCCUCAAUUCACCUGUGCUCUCCCAAGAGAGAGCUAGCAUGUUAUGGGGUGGUGGCAACCCACCAUUUUUAGCACCAACUGCUGAAAGAUAGAAAAUAAAAGAAUUGAGGAUUCUUAGAAGACAGAAGACUUGAAGGUGACCAUGUAAGGCUUAUUCUAUAG